rnacentral:rRNA from 1 species
AGAGUUUGAUCCUGGCUCAGGACGAACGCUGGCGGCGUGCUUAACACAUGCAAGUCGAACGGUAAGGCCCUUCGGGGUACACGAGUGGCGAACGGGUGAGUAACACGUGGGUAAUCUGCCCUGCACAUCGGGAUAAGCCUGGGAAGCUGGGUCUAAUACCGAAUAGGACCACAGGACACAUGUCCUGUGGUGGAAAGCUUUUGCGGUGUGGGAUGGGCCCGCGGCCUAUCAGCUUGUUGGUGGGGUGAUGGCCUACCAAGGCGACGACGGGUAGCCGGCCUGAGAGGGUGUCCGGCCACACUGGGACUGAGAUACGGCCCAGACUCCUACGGGAGGCAGCAGUGGGGAAUAUUGCACAAUGGGCGAAAGCCUGAUGCAGCGACGCCGCGUGGGGGAUGACGGCCUUCGGGUUGUAAACCUCUUUCACCAUCGACGAAGGUCCGGGUUUUCUCGGGCUGACGGUAGGUGGAGAAGAAGCACCGGCCAACUACGUGCCAGCAGCCGCGGUAAUACGUAGGGUGCGAGCGUUGUCCGGAAUUACUGGGCGUAAAGAGCUCGUAGGUGGUUUGUCGCGUUGUUCGUGAAAUCUCACGGCUUAACUGUGAGCGUGCGGGCGAUACGGGCAGACUUGAGUACUGCAGGGGAGACUGGAAUUCCUGGUGUAGCGGUGGAAUGCGCAGAUAUCAGGAGGAACACCGGUGGCGAAGGCGGGUCUCUGGGCAGUAACUGACGCUGAGGAGCGAAAGCGUGGGGAGCGAACAGGAUUAGAUACCCUGGUAGUCC